rnacentral:rRNA from 1 species
UACGUAGGGGGCAAGCGUUGUCCGGAUUUAUUGGGCGUAAAGAGCGUGUAGGCGGCCAAGCAGGUCCGCUGUGAAACUCGAGGCUCAACCUCGAGACGUCGGUGGAAACCGUUGCUAGAGUCCGGAAGAGGCGAGUGGAAUUCCCGGUGUAGCGGUGAAAUGCGCAGAUAUCAGGAGGAACACCGAUGGCGAAGGCAGGUCUCUGGGCCACUACUGACGCUGAGAAGCGAAAGCAUGGGGAGCGAACAGG